AGACCCGAAACCCGGUGAUCUAGCCAUGGGCAGGUUGAAGGUUGGGUAACACUAACUGGAGGACCGAACCGACUAAUGUUGAAAAAUUAGCGGAUGACCUGUGGCUGGGGGUGAAAGGCCAAUCAAACCGGGAGAUAGCUGGUUCUCCCCGAAAGCUAUUUAGGUAGCGCCUCGUGAAUUCAUCUCCGGGGGUAGAGCACUGUUUCGGCUAGGGGGCCAUCCCGGCUUACCAACCCGAUGCAAACUGCGAAUACCGGAGAAUGUUAUCACGGGAGACACACGGCGGGUGCUAACGUCCGUCGUGAAGAGGGAAACAACCCAGACCGCCAGCUAAGGUCCCAAAGUCAUGGUUAAGUGGGAAACGAUGUGGGAAGGCCCAGACAGCCAGGAUGUUGGCUUAGAAGCAGCCAUCAUUUAAAGAAAGCGUAAUAGCUCACUGGUCGAGUCGGCCUGCGCGGAAGAUGUAACGGGGCUAAACCAUGCACCGAAGCUGCGGCAGCGACGCUGAUGCGUUGUUGGGUAGGGGAGCGUUCUGUAAGCCUGCGAAGGUGGCCUGUGAGGGUUGCUGGAGGUAUCAGAAGUGCGAAUGCUGACAUAAGUAACGAUAAAGCGGGUGAAAAGCCCGCUCGCCGGAAGACCAAGGGUUCCUGUCCAACGUUAAUCGGGGCAGGGUGAGUCGACCCCUAAGGCGAGGCCGAAAGGCGUAGUCGAUGGGAAACGGGUUAAUAUUCCCGUACUUGGUGUUACUGCGAAGGGGGGACGGAGAAGGCUAUGUUGGCCGGGCGACGGUUGUCCCGGUUUAAGCGUGUAGGUGUGUGUUCCAGGUAAAUCCGGUUCACUUUAACACUGAGGCGUGAUGACGAGGCACUACGGUGCUGAAGCAACAAAUGCCCUGCUUCCAGGAAAAGCCUCUAAGCAUCAGGUAACAUCAAAUCGUACCCCAAACCGACACAGGUGGUCAGGUAGAGAAUACCAAGGCGCUUGAGAGAACUCGGGUGAAGGAACUAGGCAAAAUGGUGCCGUAACUUCGGGAGAAGGCACGCUGACACGUAGGUGAAGUGAUUUACUCAUGGAGCUGAAGUCAGUCGAAGAUACCAGCUGGCUGCAACUGUUUAUUAAAAACACAGCACUGUGCAAACACGAAAGUGGACGUAUACGGUGUGACGCCUGCCCGGUGCCGGAAGGUUAAUUGAUGGGGUCAGCGCAAGCGAAGCUCCUGAUCGAAGCCCCGGUAAACGGCGGCCGUAACUAUAACGGUCCUAAGGUAGCGAAAUUCCUUGUCGGGUAAGUUCCGACCUGCACGAAUGGCGUAAUGAUGGCCAGGCUGUCUCCACCCGAGACUCAGUGAAAUUGAACUCGCUGUGAAGAUGCAGUGUACCCGCGGCAAGACGGAAAGACCCCGUGAACCUUUACUAUAGCUUGACACUGAACAUUGAGCCUUGAUGUGUAGGAUAGGUGGGAGGCUUUGAAGUGUGGACGCCAGUCUGCAUGGAGCCGACCUUGAAAUACCACCCUUUAAUGUUUGAUGUUCUAACGUGGACCCGUAAUCCGGGUUGCGGACAGUGUCUGGUGGGUAGUUUGACUGGGGCGGUCUCCUCCUAAAGAGUAACGGAGGAGCACGAAGGUUGGCUAAUCCUGGUCGGACAUCAGGAGGUUAGUGCAAUGGCAUAAGCCAGCUUGACUGCGAGCGUGACGGCGCGAGCAGGUGCGAAAGCAGGUCAUAGUGAUCCGGUGGUUCUGAAUGGAAGGGCCAUCGCUCAACGGAUAAAAGGUACUCCGGGGAUAACAGGCUGAUACCGCCCAAGAGUUCAUAUCGACGGCGGUGUUUGGCACCUCGAUGUCGGCUCAUCACAUCCUGGGGCUGAAGUAGGUCCCAAGGGUAUGGCUGUUCGCCAUUUAAAGUGGUACGCGAGCUGGGUUUAGAACGUCGUGAGACAGUUCGGUCCCUAUCUGCCGUGGGCGCUGGAGAACUGAGGGGGGCUGCUCCUAGUACGAGAGGACCGGAGUGGACGCAUCACUGGUGUUCGGGUUGUCAUGCCAAUGGCACUGCCCGGUAGCUAAAUGCGGAAGAGAUAAGUGCUGAAAGCAUCUAAGCACGAAACUUGCCCCGAGAUGAGUUCUCCCUGAGACUUAGAGUCUCCUGAAGGAACGUUGAAGACGACGACGUUGAUAGGC
rnacentral:rRNA from 1 species